GAUGAACGCUAGCUACAGGCUUAACACAUGCAAGUCGAGGGGUAACGAGAGGAAAGCUUGCUUUCCUUGUCGACGACCGGCGCACGGGUGAGUAACGCGUAUCCAACCUGCCCCCAACUAAGGAAUAACCUUGCGAAAGUAAGACUAAUACCUUAUAAUUUCCUCAGAUGUCAUCUGACGAGGAAUAAAGAUUUAUCGGUUGUGGAUGGGGAUGCGUCUGAUUAGCUUGUUGGCGGGGUAACGGCCCACCAAGGCAACGAUCAGUAGGGGUUCUGAGAGGAAGGUACCCCACAUUGGAACGGGGACACGGUCCAAACUCCUACGGGAGGAAGCAGGGAGGAAUAUUGGUCAAUGGGCGAAAGCCUGAACCAGCCAAGUAGCGUGCAGGAUGACGGCCCUAUGGGUUGUAAACUGCUUUUAUACAGGAAUAAAGUUAGCCACGUGUGGUUAUUUGUAGGUACUGUAUGAAUAAGGACCGGCUAAUUCCGUGCCAGCAGCCGCCGUAA
rnacentral:rRNA from 1 species